GGAAAAGGCAGACUGUGGGAAGGGUCCUUCUGGGCAGAAGGGUAGGUCGUUCUGAUACCCAGAAGUUCUCUGUCAAAAUCUGACUUUGAGGCAAAUCAAAACUAGACUUUCAGAAGCGAUGGAGACAGGAUCCAGAAGACUGAGGUGAAAUGCUUAACAGUCAGACGGUACAGCACCGCCGCCAUGAAGAAGCCAAACACCACAGCCUCCUCAGCCCCGCACGUAGAUGGGCUCACUCUGGACGUGGUCCGCCCCCGCCGAGGCAUUGUCCUGAACGUUGUCCAGCUCUUAGCACCGUUUGACCUGGACACAGUCUCCACCCCAGGUGGGGCUCGUCCUCCACGUAGCCCCGCCCCGUGUGUGCCUCGACCUGGACGUGGCCCGCCCCUGAGCGUGGCUCACCCUGGGAGUAAUACCGCCCCUGGGUGUGGCUUCCCGAGAUGAAGCCCGCCCCUGGAUGCAGUCCCCUCCUGGACAUGACCCGUCACAGGGUGCGGCUAACCCCGUACGUAGCCACACCCCCAGGUGCGACUCGCUCUGUGCGUGGCUCCGCCCCCAGAGAAGGCGGGUAGGAACCUCUACUUCGGAAUCCCAUCCGUUACUGGCUCUUCUGACUAGAAGUUUCUGAACUCUGCUGGCGUGCCAGACUGUAUUGAGGUUGCCCUUCUAUGAGAGGGUAUUAGAAAGCUGCAUUGAGAUUGCAGUCCAAGAAAGCAGAGGAGUAAGAGACCUUACUUUUGUCUGGUUGCAAGAAUUCAGCUAGAUAGCUAUCCAAUUAUUCUGAACACCUGAAAAAUCAAGGGGAGAUCAAAGAAAAGAGUACCUGCAACUCUACAAACAGAAAAGAGACCAUGUUCUGCCAGUAAGCUGCCAUGCUGGAGAAGCCCACUUGAUAAGGAACCAGCCAGAUUCAGGCAAGAGCCAGCAAGGUAUUGAGGAUCUCAUUCCAACAGACGUUGAGGAACUGCAUCCUGCCAGCAACUAUGUGACUGAGUACAGAAGUUGGUCCUUCCCCAGUCAAGCCUCCAGAUGAGAAUGUAGUAGCCUCAGCUGACACCUUAAAUGCAACCUUGAAGCAGAUAAUCCAGGUAGGCCUCUCCCGAAUUUCUGACCCACAAAAGCCAUGAUAUAUGUAUUUUUUAACCCACUAAAUUUUGUUAAUAUCCAUUACACCCCAAUAGAUAAUUAAUGCA